rnacentral:rRNA from 1 species
UACGGAGGGUGCGAGCGUUGUCCGGAAUCACUGGGCGUAAAGGGCGCGUAGGUGGCCUGUGGAAGCCUGCGGUGAAAGCCCGGCGCUCAACGCCGGGUCGGCCGUGGAUACUCUCGGGCUUGAGCUUACUAGAGGCAGAUGGAAUUCCGGGUGUAGCGGUGGAAUGCGUAGAGAUCCGGAAGAACACCGGUGGCGAAGGCGGGUCUCUGGGCCGAUACUGACACUGAGGAGCGAAAGCGUGGGGAGCGAACAGG